GGGGUCUGUCAGAGCUUGACAAUGCAGACCAGGAGGGUAAAAUUCCCCAUUGUGCAGUUAGUGGCAGCGCUUGUUAAAGUAGAGUGACUGCCAGAUUGUGUCGCGCCAACUUUCCAGCUCAUGGGAUAUGGUGAACGAGUUUUUAUCUCCCCCAAACAGACACAUCCGACUGCCUCCUGAGGGCUUUUAUGAAGAGAAUGUGAGUCAGUGGGGAAGAUGGCCUCAGGCAAGCAUUUGGGCGAUGGUGUCCUGGUGACAGACCCCUCUCUCCUGUGGAAUGAAGCUUGUCAGAAGACAUCAGCGUGAUUCUCCUCAAGAGAACAUACUGGCCCAAUCUGCAUCACUAGCUGGGGUGGAUGGCUGCCUGUGUCUCGAAUCGUCCUUUGCACUAGAUCAUCUAGAAAGUCUACAGGCAGACUCCCACACCAUAGGAACAAGGCUCUCUGAACUACAAUCUAUUUUACAUGUGAAUUCCAGGACUCUUUGUCUGCAUGUGUGUACAAGUGUGUGUGUCUGUAUGUUCCAUCAGGUCUAUAAAUGUGAUCUGGACUGAACUGGCUAAUUAGACACAGUGGAAUAUGAAGACGGAUGGUGAUUUGAGCAUGCAACUGAAGUCUCCAGGGCAGCAGCUCUGUGUUUGUGUUGUUCCGGGGAGAUAAAUGCCUCCUCGCUGUCCAUGUGUACUGUUGUUCAAAACCCCUGAUAAAUGAUCUUCCCUGUGCCAUCUGAACAUGUGCAUUCAUUCUAAACACAGAUCCCUUAUGCAAAAGCUGCCAUCACAAAAAAAAAAAAAAAAAAAAUGCGGAUGAACAUACUCAUGGGUAAACAAGCUUUGAUACUAAUGAACAGCGGGUAAAUCAACUAAAAAACUAGCUAUUUAAUAUAGCACACAAUUAUGCGGCUUUCUGAAACAUAGUUCAAUUUGUUCAUAUUGAUUGAUUUAUUAGCCAUGUAACAAGUGGAAUACAGCACUCAGUUGGUCAUUAUCACAAAGUAAAUUCCUUAAGGGUGAAACAACUCCCUGCAUUUCACAUUUGGGUCAUGGUAACCCUGUCAGGGUUUAUGGUGUUAUGACUGACCUCAGCUCGCAAAGCGUCUCUCUCAAUUUAACACCACUCUCAACAUCAGUUUUGCAUAUCAAAUUAAUCUGAUCAUAUUUGCAUUAUCAUAUAGCCUAUUGCAAUUCUGAGAUUAACAGCAAGAUAGAUAGAUAGAUAGAUAGAUAGAUAGAUAGAUAGAUAGACACACACAUGCGUGCAUGCACAUGAACCCUUUUUAGAGCAUAUUGUACUUCUUUUAUACUGCUCCUUUAUGGGUUAAGUUUAAGAAAGAGAGCCUAUGUAAGCUUCAAGUUGCGUACAAUGACUGUAUGAGGAUCCUGGUG
ensembl:lncRNA